rnacentral:rRNA from 1 species
AACCAGGAAAGUUAAGUCAUAUUUCUAACGGUAAAAAGAUAGUUAAAUAAGCACAAAAGUUUAUUUAUUAUUUAUAAAGAGGUAAAAUUUUUAUAUAAAUAUAUAAUUUAAUUUUAACUUAAGUAUUGAAGCUAUGAUAGCCUUGAGGGAAACCGGGAUCAGAUACCCCGUUAUUCUUGGCUGUAAAUAAAUAAUGAUUUACCAGAGUACUACGAAGCAUAAAAGUUUAAAACUCAAAGAGCUUGGCGGUGUUUUAGACCCUUCAGGGGAACCUGUCUCGUAAUCGAUAAUCCACGUUAGACCUGACCUUUUUUUGCCCUCAGUUUGUAUAUCGUCGUCGAAAGGUAACUUUUAAGAAACGAUUAGUUAGCAACAGAAUUAUGUAAGUUUAGACGUCAGAUCAAGGUGCAACUUAUAAAAAGGGGAAGAUGGGUUACAAUUAUUUAAUUAUAAUAACGGAUUAAUACUUGAAUAAGUAUUUUUAAGGAGGACUUGAAAGUAAAUUAUAUUAUAUAAAUAUUUUGAA